rnacentral:rRNA from 1 species
AUUGAACGCUGGCGGCAGGCUUAACACAUGCAAGUCGAGCGAGCGGCGGACGGGAGGGUAAUGUCUGUGAAACUGCGUGAUGGAGGGGGAUAGCUACUGGAAACGGUAGCCAAUACCGCCUACCUUAAGAUGUGUCCAGAUGGGAUUAGCUAGUGGGUGGGGUAAAGGCUCACCAAGGCGACGAACCCUAGCUGGUCUGAGAGGAUGACCAGCCACACUGGAACUGAGACACGGUCCAGACUCCUACGGGAGGCAGCAGUGGGGAAUAUUGGACAAUGGGCGAAAGCCUGAUGCAGCCAUGCCGCGUGUGUGAAGAAGGCCUUCGGGUUGUAAAGCACUUUCAGCGGGGAGGCGUUACUCGCAGAAGAAGCACCGGCUAACUCCGUGCCAGCAGCCGCGGUAAUUC